rnacentral:rRNA from 1 species
CUACGGGUUGCUGCAGUGGGGAAUAUUGGACAAUGGGGGAAACCCUGAUCCAGCAAUGCCGCGUGGAGGAUGACACUUUUCGGAGCGUAAACUCCUUUUAUAUAGGAAGAAGAUGACGGUACUAUAUGAAUAAGCGCCGGCUAACUCCGUGCCAGCAGCCGCGGUAAUACGGAGGGCGCAAGCGUUACUCGGAAUCACUGGGCGUAAAGAGCGUGUAGGCGGAUUAAAAAGUCAGAAGUGAAAUCCUAUAGCUUAACUAUAGAACUGCUUCUGAAACUCUUAAUCUAGAAUGUGGGAGAGGUAGAUGGAAUUUCUGGUGUAGGGGUAAAAUCCGUAGAGAUCAGAAGGAAUACCGAUUGCGAAGGCGAUCUACUAGAACAUUAUUGACGCUGAGACGCGAAAGCGUGGGGAGCAAACAGGAUUAGAUACCCUUGUAGUC